rnacentral:tRNA from 1 species
GAAGGAAUAGCUCAGUGGUAGAGCACAUGCUUAGCAUGCACAAAGUCCUGGGUUCUAUCCCCAGUACCUCCA